CAUUCUGGAUAACAGGUCCCAUUCCUGUAUUAUUUUUCUUUUUUUUUUUUGGUGUAUUGCUUUUUAAUAUGGUCCCUUUAAAGUAAGGUAGAUCCAUGCCACAUAUAGAGUGACCAUUGCUAGAAUUUUAAAUUCCAGCCAUUCACUGUUCUAAAAUAUAAUCCCCUUGUUUUUAUUUCUGAUAGAGUUCUUCCAGAGCUGCACAAUCACCUUCUUCAUGUGUCACAAGAAGUAUUGGUACACCCUCCCCUCUGUCUCCUACUCCUUCUCCUGCCAGCUCUCGAGGAUCUCAGCCAGGGUCCAUUGCUAGCAACAGUGGGACUCAAGUUCAGUUGCCAUUCCACAGAUGAUCCAUCACAUAGCAUCAUCAUAUGUCAACAUAACCUCCUAUUUCCUUUAUGCAUAUGACAUCUGGGAACAGGCUGAUCUCCUCGCAAAGAAACAUAAAGAUCUCAGUGCAGUGAUGUGCCCUCUGUCUCUCAGCAGUCCUAUGGAUAAGCUGGUACACUACACUAGACAGGGAUUACAGUGGCUAAGACUGGAGACCAUCUUGAAUUAAAUGGUUCUGAGAAACCUGCUAUGUGAAUUCUAUGCACUGCAGAAGUUCAGAAAGCCUGUGGCUGGGCACAUGAAUUCUGAUAAUAAACACAUCAUGUAAACUGGUUGUACUGGAAGCCUGCUAAACACCACAUAUGACAGCAACGAGAUGAAGAAGACCGCAGCAUGAAAUAUUAUUUGCCAUACAGGUGAAUGAUCGAUAUCAUGCAAUGUAUUAUAGGAGUGAAUAGACCUAUAAAAAAUUCAGUAUGAAUGAAAGGUCUUCUAGGGGGGAAACCUGGAACCUCAAAUCUGCAUUGCAGAUUAUCCUUACAUCAGAGCUUGUAAGUGAACAACUGUAAAAAGUAAAUGCACACAGGAAAACAUGAUGGAGGAGGAACGACGACAAGGGAGGAAAGUAUAUUCCUACAGCACUGCAUUGUACAAUGGAGAAUAAAACUUUACAAUGCCGAGGGAUUAGCCAUCAUCCUUUGGAUGUGUUCAAUUCAAUGCUUUGUGCCUUAAACAGCCAUUUUUGUAUCUCACAAUAUCGAUCAUGUCUUAUUCAACUGUCAAAAUUCUGAAAUCUUGGGGAUGAUCUAUUUUAUGUCAUAGUGAUUUAUUUAUUAUUAAAGCAGAAAAGGGCCAUCUUCCAUAUCUAAUAGCCUUGAUAUCUGCUGAUUAUUUUAAACAAUCGCCCAUUCAGAAUAUUUGCUUUGCCUUAAUAAACAAAAUUUAUCUUUAUUGCUGGCAAAGCAAUCUUUGGGUUUCAUCUAAAUUUGUUGAUGUGCAACAGGAACCCCAACAGAUGGAGCUGAUUUACAGCUCCCAGAAUCCCUCAGAGGAUGCUGGGAAUUGUAUUUUAGCAGUACCUGGAAAGCCACCAGUUGCCUAUCCCUGAAUUAAAUACUCCCAUCAACUUUUCUAUCAAGACUUUUCGUCAUUGAGGCUUGGAUCUAAGACAGACUGUUGUGCCUGGUCCUUUUCUUCUAUUUUUCUCACCCAGUUUACUUUACCAAUAUUUAUUUGUAAUUUAAUUUAUAAAGUGCUGGCUAAAUAGUACAUUUUUAGAAAUAGAAACCAACACUGUCUGCAAUUUGGCGUAAAACAGGAACAUCCUUUAUCUGCAGCUAAUAACAUUUGAUCAUCUUUAAAUGAAGCACUUACAUUCCUAGUUCUGUAUGUCCCUUGCCAACAUUUCUUAACCUUAUUAAGUUUUUCUUGCUUCAUGGUUCAUAUCUACCUUUCUAAAGGGAACAUGCACUUCCGCACCAUCAGGUCUUUUUGAUAUUUACAAUGUAGUCAGUAAAGCCAUGUAUUUUUAGAUUGGUAAACCUUUUCAAACUGGUGAUGCUUCUCAACAAUUAGAUAAUUGUAAUUAAAAUAAUGAAUUAUGUUACAAGCUUAUUAUAUUUGUUGUGUUUAGCAUACCUAUUUUCUUUCCAUUUAAUAUUUAUUUUUAGUUGCGAUGAUGGGUCCGAUUGGGCGUACCUGCUGGGGAGUGGAAGCAGGCAAGGUGCGUGCAGAUCCAGUGAUGUCACUGGCGCACUCGAAGAGAGCCCAGGUGCAGGCGUGCAUGGAUCUGCACACAACUAGACCCAGCAGUAGCCUAGAAGGGGUGCCUGUGUGGAUGUAGCCAAGAGGCCCCACAUAUCAUUUAUCCGCUACUGUUCUCUGCACUUAGUUGCUGGAAAGUGCCAUCUAGUAGUUGUGCUCUUGCAUUCUCUGUUAAAUGACUUAUUUGAGGCUGAUAGUAUGACAGCAAACCGUAAAGGGAAAUAGCUAGUGUGCUUGUGCUUCAUUAACUACAUGAAUCUGAAAAGUGCAAUAACUAAGCACAAACCUGACCAGUUCUGGUGUUUUUUAAUCCUUUGAUUUAAAGGGAUCCUGUCAUCGGAAAACAUGUUUUUUUUUCAAAACACAUCAGUUA